ACGACCAUGUAUAGUAAGGCGUUUUUAGCCUGAAAAAAAACAUAGUAUAGUAAGGCGUUUUUAGCCCGAAAAAACGACAUAGUAUAGUAAGGCGUUUUGAGACCGAAAAAAAUGACCCCGUAUAGUAAGGCGUUUUUAAAACUUUGCCUGUGUCUUUCGACGCAUAUUAACCAGAACCAGAAUUUAUUUUUCAAGUUCACGGAGCUGCGACCCGGAACUAAAAGGCGGACCAGAACCGGAAGCGAGUCAUUGUUUUCCUUGGCGUUUUGUUCGCUCAUAUUUUUGGUGUUCUUCAAACGCGUGAGCGAAGUUAGUUUAGGUACUUUCGGUCUAAGUCAGGCAUUUUUGGAUUUUUUUAAAAUGCUCAGGAGACGACCACUGUGCAGUAACGUUGUCUCCGCGUCGGCUGCCGGCGUGCAAAAGUGGCGACGUGUUGUGCAAAGGGGAAACUCUGCCGCCUGGUGGCCAAGAUAGAAACCUGCAACUGACAUCCCCCAGAAGACCUCAAAUAGUUCAUCGUCUGCAAACUUCAUUCAAUUGGACGCUUUUGCUUCGCCCGUACCUUGCUGCGGCUCACAGGAUAUAGGCCGGGUGCAUAAAGUCCUUGGGGACGAUCCCAACGACACCAUUCAAGUUGCCGACCCACCAGCCAUCG